GACGGCGGAGGCAAGCGUUAUCCGGAAUUAUUGGGCGUAAAGCGUCCGCAGGUGGCGAUUCAAGUCUGCUGUCAAAGGUCGGGGCUUAACCCCGGGAAGGCAGUGGAAACUGAAUAGCUAGAGAGCGGUAGGGGCAGAGGGAAUUCCCGGUGUAGCGGUGAAAUGCGUAGAGAUCGGGAAGUACACCAGUGGCGAAAGCGCUCUGCUGGGCCUGCACUGACACUGAGUGACGAAAGCUAGGGGUGCGAAAGGG
rnacentral:rRNA from 1 species